GAUGGACGCUGGCGGCGUGCCUAAUACAUGCAAGUCGAGCGAACGGACGAGAAGCUUGCUUCUCUGAUGUUAGCGGCGGACGGGUGAGUAACACGUGGAUAACCUACCUAUAAGACUGGGAUAACUUCGGGAAACCGUAGCUAAUACCGGAUAAUAUUUUGAACCGCAUGGUUCAAAAGUGAAAGACGGUCUUGCUGUCACUUAUAGAUGGAUCCGCGCUGCAUUAGCUAGUUGGUAAGGUAACGGCUUACCAAGGCAACGAUGCAUAGCCGACCUGAGAGGGUGAUCGGCCACACUGGAACUGAGACACGGUCCAGACUCCUACGGGAGGCAGCAGUAGGGAAUCUUCCGCAAUGGGCGAAAGCCUGACGGGGCAACGCCGCGUGAGUGAUGAAGGUCUUCGGAUCGUAAAACUCUGUUAUUAGGGAAGAACAUAUGUGUAAGUAACUGUGCACAUCUUGACGGUACCUAAUCAGAAAGCCACGGCUAACUACGUG
rnacentral:rRNA from 1 species